UUAAUUUGAGAGUUUGAUCCUGGCUCAGGACGAACGCUGGCGGCGUGCCUAAUACAUGCAAGUCGAACGAACUCUGGUAUUGAUUGGUGCUUGCAUCAUGAUUUACAUUUGAGUGAGUGGCGAACUGGUGAGUAACACGUGGGAAACCUGCCCAGAAGCGGGGGAUAACACCUGGAAACAGAUGCUAAUACCGCAUAACAACUUGGACCGCAUGGUCCGAGCUUGAAAGAUGGCUUCGGCUAUCACUUUUGGAUGGUCCCGCGGCGUAUUAGCUAGAUGGUGGGGUAACGGCUCACCAUGGCAAUGAUACGUAGCCGACCUGAGAGGGUAAUCGGCCACAUUGGGACUGAGACACGGCCCAAACUCCUACGGGAGGCAGCAGUAGGGAAUCUUCCACAAUGGACGAAAGUCUGAUGGAGCAACGCCGCGUGAGUGAAGAAGGGUUUCGGCUCGUAAAACUCUGUUGUUAAAGAAGAACAUAUCUGAGAGUAACUGUUCAGGUAUUGACGGUAUUUAACCAGAAAGCCACGGCUAACUACGUGCCAGCAGCCGCGGUAAUACGUAGGUGGCGAGCGUUGUCCGGAUUUAUUGGGCGUAAAGCGAGCGCAGGCGGUUUUUUAAGUCUGAUGUGAAAGCCUUCGGCUCAACCGAAGAAGUGCAUCGGAAACUGGGAAACUUGAGUGCAGAAGAGGACAGUGGAACUCCAUGUGUAGCGGUGAAAUGCGUAGAUAUAUGGAAGAACACCAGUGGCGAAGGCGGCUGUCUGGUCUGUAACUGACGCUGAGGCUCGAAAGUAUGGGUAGCAAACAGGAUUAGAUACCCUGGUAGUCCAUACCGUAAACGAUGAAUGCUAAGUGUUGGAGGGUUUCCGCCCUUCAGUGCUGCAGCUAACGCAUUAAGCAUUCCGCCUGGGGAGUACGGCCGCAAGGCUGAAACUCAAAGGAAUUGACGGGGGCCCGCACAAGCGGUGGAGCAUGUGGUUUAAUUCGAAGCUACGCGAAGAACCUUACCAGGUCUUGACAUACUAUGCAAAUCUAAGAGAUUAGACGUUCCCUUCGGGGACAUGGAUACAGGUGGUGCAUGGUUGUCGUCAGCUCGUGUCGUGAGAUGUUGGGUUAAGUCCCGCAACGAGCGCAACCCUUAUUAUCAGUUGCCAGCAUUAAGUUGGGCACUCUGGUGAGACUGCCGGUGACAAACCGGAGGAAGGUGGGGAUGACGUCAAAUCAUCAUGCCCCUUAUGACCUGGGCUACACACGUGCUACAAUGGAUGGUACAACGAGUUGCGAACUCGCGAGAGUAAGCUAAUCUCUUAAAGCCAUUCUCAGUUCGGAUUGUAGGCUGCAACUCGCCUACAUGAAGUCGGAAUCGCUAGUAAUCGCGGAUCAGCAUGCCGCGGUGAAUACGUUCCCGGGCCUUGUACACACCGCCCGUCACACCAUGAGAGUUUGUAACACCCAAAGUCGGUGGGGUAACCUUUUAGGAACCAGCCGCCUAAGGUGGGACAGAUGAUUAGGGUGAAGUCGUAACAAGGUAGCCGUAGGAGAACCUGCGGCUGGAUCACCUCCUUUCUAAGGAA
rnacentral:rRNA from 2 species